rnacentral:rRNA from 1 species
UACGUAGGUCCCGAGCGUUGUCCGGAUUUAUUGGGCGUAAAGCGAGCGCAGGUGGUUUAUUAAGUCUGGUGUAAAAGGCAGUGGCUCAACCAUUGUAUGCAUUGGAAACUGGUAGACUUGAGUGCAGGAGAGGAGAGUGGAAUUCCAUGUGUAGCGAUGAAAUGCGUAGAUAUAUGGAGGAACACCGGUGGCGAAAGCGGCUCUCUGGCCUGUAACUGACACUGAGGCUCGAAAGCGUGGGGAGCGAACAGG